GACGAACGCUGGCGGCGUGCUUAGCACAUGCAAGUCGAGCGAGGCCCCUUCUCUUCGGAGAGGGUGCCCUAGCGGCGAACGGGUGAGUAACACGUGGGCAACCUGCCCCUAGCACUGGGAUAACUCCGGGGAAACCGGGGCUAAUACCGGAUACGACCUCUGAGGGCAUCCUCCGGAGGUGGAAAGCAUUGUGGCUAGGG
rnacentral:rRNA from 1 species